rnacentral:rRNA from 1 species
GACGAACGCUGGCGGCGUGCCUAACACAUGCAAGUCGAACGGAAGUAGAGACUUCGGUUUUUACUUUAGUGGCGAACGGGUGAGUAACGCGUGAGGAACCUACCUUUCAGUGGGGGACAACAGUUGGAAACGGCUGCUAAUACCGCAUGACACAUACUUAUCGCAUGUUAGGUAUGUCAAAGGAGCAAUCCGCUGAUAGAUGGGCUUGCGUCUGAUUAGAUAGUUGGUAGGGUAACGGCCUACCAAGUCGACGAUCAGUAGCCGGACUGAGAGGUUGAACGGCCACAUUGGGACUGAGAUACGGCCCAGACUCCUACGGGAGGCAGCAGUGGGGAAUAUUGCACAAUGGGGGAAACCCUGAUGCAGCGACGCCGCGUGGAGGAAGAAGGUCUUCGGAUUGUAAACUCCUGUUGUCAAGGACGAUAAUGACGGUACUUGACAAGAAAGCCACGGCUAACUACGUG